GAUGAACGCUGACAGAAUGCUUAACACAUGCAAGUCAACUUGAAUUUGGGUUUUUAACUUAGGUUUGGGUGGCGGACGGGUGAGUAACGCGUAAAGAACUUGCCUCACAGCUAGGGACAACAUUUGGAAACGAAUGCUAAUACCUAAUAUUAUGAUAAUAGGGCAUCCUAUAAUUAUGAAAGCUAUAAGCGCUGUGAGAGAGCUUUGCGUCCCAUUAGCUAGUUGGAGAGGUAACGGCUCACCAAGGCGAUGAUGGGUAGCCGGCCUGAGAGGGUGAUCGGCCACAAGGGGGCUGAGACACGGCCCUUACUCCUACGGGAGGCAGCAGUGGGGAAUAUUGGACAAUGGACCGAGAGUCUGAUCCAGCAAUUCUGUGUGCACGAUGAAGUUUUUCGGAAUGUAAAGUGCUUUCAGUUGGGAAGAAACAAAUGACGGUACCAACAGAAGAAGUGACGGCUAAAUACGUG
rnacentral:rRNA from 1 species